rnacentral:rRNA from 1 species
AUUGAACGCUGGCGGCAUGCCUUACACAUGCAAGUCGAACGGUAACGCGGGGCAACCUGGCGACGAGUGGCGAACGGGUGAGUAAUGCAUCGGAACGUGCCCAGUAGUGGGGGAUAGCCCGGCGAAAGCCGGAUUAAUACCGCAUACGACCUAUGGGUGAAAGCGGGGGACCGUAAGGCCUCGCGCUAUUGGAGCGGCCGAUGUCAGAUUAGGUAGUGGGUGGGGUAAAGGCCCACCAAGCCUACGCUCGGUAGCUGGUCUGAGAGGACGACCAGCCACACUGGGGCUGAGACACGGCCCAGACUCCUACGGGAGGCAGCAGUGGGGAACUUUGGACAAUGGGCGCAAGCCUGAUCCAGCCAUGCCGCGUGCGGGAAGAAGGCCUUCGGGUUGUAAACCGCUUUUGUCAGGGAAGAAACGCUCUGGGCUAAUACCCCGGGGUAAUGACGGUACCUGAAGAAUAAGCACCGGCUAACUACGUGCCAGCCGCCGCAGUAACAC